UUACGGCCAUCAUCACAUUGAAACACCGGUUCUCUUACGGCCAGCGAAGUUAAGCAAUGUCGAGCAUAGUUAGUACCUAGAUGGGUGACAGCUUGGGAAUACCAGGU